rnacentral:rRNA from 1 species
GACGAACGCUGGCGGCGUGCUUAACACAUGCAAGUCGAACGGAAAGGCCCUGCUUUUGUGGGGUGCUCGAGUGGCGAACGGGUGAGUAACACGUGAGUAACCUGCCCUUGACUUUGGGAUAACUUCAGGAAACUGGGGCUAAUACCGGCUAGGAGCUCCUGCUGCAUGGUGGGGGUUGGAAAGUUUCGGCGGUUGGGGAUGGACUCGCGGCUUAUCAGCUUGUUGGUGGGGUAGUGGCUUACCAAGGCUUUGACGGGUAGCCGGCCUGAGAGGGUGACAGGCCACGUUGGGACUGAGAUACGGCCCAGACUCCUACGGGAGGCAGCAGUGGGGAAUAUUGCACAAUGGGCGGAAGCCUGAUGCAGCAACGCCGCGUGCGGGAUGACGGCCUUCGGGUUGUAAACCGCUUUCGCCUGUGACGAAGCGUGAGUGACGGUAAUGGGUAAAGAAGCACCGGCUAACUACGUG